rnacentral:rRNA from 1 species
CCUACGGGUGGCAGCAGUGAGGAAUAUUGGGCAAUGGCCGGGAGGCUGAACCAGCGAAGUCGCGUGAGGGAAGACGGCCCUACGGGUUGUAAACCUCUUUUGUCAGGGAGCAAGGUGCAGGUCGGGACCUGCUGUGAGAGUACCUGAAGAAAAAGCAUCGGCUAACUCUGUGCCAGCAGCCGCGGUAAUACGGGGGAGGCGAGCGUAAUCCGGAUUUAUUGGGUUUAAAGGGUGCGCAGGCGGAGGCACAAGUCAGCGGUAAAAUCGCGGGGCUCAACCCCGCUCCGCCGUUGAAACUGUGUCCCUUGAGUGCGCGAAGGGUAGGCGGAAUGCGUGGUGUAGCGGUGAAAUGCGUAGAUAUUAGGAGGAACACCAGUGGCGAAGGCGGUUUGCUGGACAGCAACUGACGCUGAGGCGCGAAAGCGUGGGGAGCAAACAGGAUUAGAUACCCUGGUAGUC